rnacentral:rRNA from 1 species
UGCUUAACACAUGCAAGUCACGGGGUGCCCGCAAGGGCAACCGGCGAACGGGUGCGUAACACGUGAGCAAUCUGCCGAUUUCUGGGGGAUAGCCGGCCCAACGGCCGGGUAAUACCGCAUACGCUCGCGGGGAGGAGUCUCCCUGUGAGGAAACCUCCGGGGGAAAUCGAGGAGCUCGCGGCCUAUCAGCUAGUUGGCGGGGUAACGGCCCACCAAGGCGACGACGGGUAGCUGGUCUGAGAGGAUGGCCAGCCACAUUGGGACUGAGAAACGGCCCAGACUCCUACGGGAGGCAGCAGUGGGGAAUCUUGCGCAAUGGCCGAAAGGCUGACGCAGCGACGCCGCGUGUGGGAGGACGCCCUUCGGGGUGUAAACCACUGUUGCCCGGGACGAACAUCCCCUUUCGAGGGGACUGACGGUACCGGGUGAGGAAGCACCGGCUAACUCCGUGCCAGCAGCCGCGGUAAUACGGAGGGUGCGAGCGUUGUCCGGAAUCACUGGGCGUAAAGGGCGCGUAGGUGGCACGGGUAGUCGUCGGUGAAAGCUCAGGGCUCAACCCUGAGUCGGCCGGUGAUACUCCCGAGCUUGAGUGUGGUA